ensembl:lncRNA
UUUUUUUUUUUUUUUUUGAGAUGGAAGCUUGUUCUGCCGCCCAGGCUGAAAUGCAAUGGUACAAUCUCAGCUCACUGCAACCUUCACCUCCUGGGUUCAAGUGAUUCUCCUACCUCAGCCCCCUGAGUAGAUGGGAUUACAGGCGUGUGCCACCACGCCACCACACUUGACUAAUUUUUGUAUUUUUAGUAGAGACUGGGUCUCACCAUGUUGGCCAAGCUGAUCUCGACCUCAAAUGAUCCAACUGCCUUGGUCUCUCAAAGUGCUGGGAUUACAGGUGUGAGCCACUGUGCCCAGCCUUGUUAUUUGAACAGUAGCAUAAUUCUUCAUACAAGCACAUACACAAAUAUCAUCCCAUUUUAUUUUCCUAGUGUGAUGGCUAAUAUCAGGUGUUGGCUUAACUGGAUUGAAGGAUGCCUAGAUGGCUGGUAAAGUACUGUUUCUGGUGUGUCUGUGAGGGUGUUGCCAGAGGAGACUGACAUUGAGUCGGUUGACUGGGAGAGGAAGACCCACCCUCAGCAUGGGUGGGCACCAUCUAUGAGCUGCCAGCAGGGCUAGAACAAAGCAGGUGGAGGAAGGUGGGAUGAGCUGGCUUGCUGAGCCUUCUGGCUUUCAUCUUCCUCCCAUGCUGGAUCCUCCCUUCCACUCCUUCUGCCCUUGGACAUCAGACUCCAUGUUCCUUGGCCUUUGAACUCUUGGACGUGCACCAGUGGUUUGCCAGGGGCUCUAGGGCCUUUGGCCACGGACUGAAGGCUGCACUGUUAGCUUCCCUGCUUUUGAGGCUUUCAGACUGGACUGAGCCACUACAUCCCUAGAGCUUGUCAGUAGCCGAGCCAGGUUUCAAAGCCAAGUCACUGGCCUUUCAAUGCAAUCUCCUUCUCAUCCUCCACUCAAUCAAAUGCUAAUCAGGAACAUUUGAGGACUACCUGAAGUGAGCCUUCCAGAACAAUACAGGCUCUUCAUGCCAGUCAAAAUAGUCUAGAACCACUGUCCAGUAGAAAUACAAUGUGAACAGCCAGGCGCUGUGGCUCACACCUGUAAUCCCAGCACUUCCGGAGACCAAGGCAGGCGGAUGAUGAGGUUAGGAGUUCGAGAGCAGCCUGGCCAACAUGGUGAAACUCUGUCUCUACUGAAAAUACAAAAACUUAGCCUUGGUGGAGGGCGCCUGUUAUCCCAGCUAAUUGGGAGGCUGAGGCAGGAGAAUCAUUGGAACCCAGGAAGCAGAGGUUGCAGUGAGCUGAGAUUGCACCACUGCACUCUAGCCUGGGUGACAGCAUGAGACUCCAUCUUGAAAGAAACGAAGAAGGAAGGAAGGAAGGAAGGAAGGAAGGAAGGAAGGAAGGAAGGAAGGAAGGAAGGAAGGAAGGAAGGAGGGAGGGAGGAGGGAGGGAGGGAGAGGGCGGAGGGAAGAAAGAGAGAGAAAGAAGGAAGGAAGGAAGGGAAAGAAAGAAAGGAAGGAAGGGAAGAAGGAAGGAAGGAUAAAAGAAAAGAAAGAGAAAAGGAAGGAAGGAAGGAAGGAAGGAAGGAAGGAAGGAAGGAAGGAAGGAAGGAAGGAAGGAAGGACAGACUAUGUGAACCAUGGGUGUAUUAUUAAAUUUCCUAGCAUCCACACAAAGAGUUUUUUAAAGAGCCACAUAUGGUGGCACGGCCCUGUAAUCCCAGCUACUAGAGAGGCUGAAACAAGAGAAUCCCUUGAGCCUAGGAAUUCGAGGUUGCAGUUAGCUGUGAUUGUGCCCGUGAAUAGCCACUGGACUCCAACCUGGGCAACAUAGUGAGAUUCCCAUCUCUCAAAAAAAUUCAAAAUAAAUAAAAGUUUG